rnacentral:rRNA from 1 species
GAUCCUGGCUCAGAUUGAACGCUGGCGGCAUGCUUUACACAUGCAAGUCGAACGGCAGCGAGGAGAAGCUUGCUUCUCUGUCGGCGAGUGGCGAACGGGUGAGUAUAGCAUCGGAACGUGCCAAGUAGUGGGGGAUAACCAAACGAAAGUUUGGCUAAUACCGCGUAAGCUCCAAGGAGGAAAGUAGGGGACCUAAAUAAGGCCUUACGCUAUUUGAUCGGCCGAUGUCGGAUUAGUUAGUUGGUGGGGUAAUGGCUCACCAAGGCAAUGAUCCGUAGCGGGUCUGAGAGGACGAUCCGCCACACUGGGACUGAGACACGGCCCAGACUCCUACGGGAGGCAGCAGUGGGGAAUUUUGGACAAUGGGGGAAACCCUGAUCCAGCCAUGCCGCGUGUAUGAAGAAGGCCUUAGGGUUGUAAAGUACUUUUGUUAGGGAAGAAAAGCUAGUUUUUAAUAAAAAUUAGUGAUGACGGUACCUAAAGAAUAAGCACCGGCUAGCUACGUGCCAGCAGCCGCGGUAAUACGUAGGGUGCAAGCGUUAAUCGGAAUUAUUGGGCGUAAAGCGAGUGCAGACGGUUACUUAAGCCAGAUGUGAAAUCCCCAAGCUUAACUUGGGACGUGCAUUCGGAACUGGGUGACUAGAGUGUGUCAGAGGGAGGUAGAAUUCCACAUGUAGCGGUGGAAUGCGUAGAGAUGUGGAGGAAUACCGAUGGCGAAGGCAGCCUCCUGGGAUAACACUGACGCUGAGGCUCGAAAGCGUGGGGAGCAAACAGGAUUAGAUACCUGGUA